UGCUCCGGAUAGUGAGAAGAAGAGUAUUUAGCUUGUUUAUAAAACAUUUCGAUAAAGUUUAAACUUGUCAGCUAGAUGGCGGCGUUUAACCUGCAAAUUUUUAAACGACUAUUAUCUUGGAAAGGUCAUGUAAAUAUGUAAUUUUAUUACGUUCUUACAUCUGGGGGAUUAUCUGUUGUUAAAACGGUAAAAACUCAAACUGCUGAGUUUCCAGUUAAAGGUAAACGCAAACGAGCUCUUUCUCAAACAAAAGGUGCUUUUCAACAUCUGAAGGGUUUAAAUAUGCUACAUGAACAGAGAUGACUUUUCCAUCUGAACAGUCAAUCAAUCUUCACCAGCCCACGUGCCAUCAGCAGCUGGGUUUUGUGUUUGUUUGAACGAAAGCGCCGCUUCAUGAGAGUUUUGAUGAGCUCGAGUGAUAAACGAGGACACAGUUUGGUGAGAAGCCCAAAGGGUUUAACUGGUCUGCCAGAUGGUGUCCCAGUCUGAACUGCUGAGAGGAGCCCCAAUACUAUUAAACCAGGCCAGUAUGAUCAGUGGAAAUAAAGUUAGUGGAAUUGACUGAUGGAUGUUUCUAUACCAGAAUGAAACCAGAUCUGCAUGUGUUGGCAUUGGGUUGUGUUAAAAACAUCAGGAGCAGAGACUUUAUGAUGAAGACAUGGAGGCUGAAGGUCAAGUUCACCUUCAAGAGCAUUUUAACAUAUCCCAACGCAGUCAGCUUUGGUCCUCAAAUCUGAUUGGACGAGACAACUCAGGAGUGCUGAUAUGGGACCAGAAUGGCACCAGGACAAAAUCAUUGAUUACCAAAGUAUAAUUACCGAAUAUGACAGAUGCAG